rnacentral:lncRNA from 1 species
AUCAGCACCGGCCCCAUCUCCCUAGCAGGAAGCUGGGCAGCCACUGCAGGCCAGGUGUGGACGACCCUCACAACUCUCCCAUCUGCGUGGACAUCGCUGGACGGGGUGAAGACGUCCUGUGCCUGUUAGCAACCGCUCCCCGCCACGGUUUGAGUGAGGCCACAACAGAACAUCAGACAGCAGUUUAUCAACAGAGACUUCCUGCCUCCCCGUCUGGAGGCCAAGGGCCCUUAUAAAAGGGCUAGAAGGAACUAGCUUGGCUGUUUUUCCUCCGAAUUCUGCCAUGUGAGGCUGGAUACGCCAUUGGAGCUGCCCUCAGCAGACCCCAGCCUGCCGGCACCUGGAUCUUGGACUCCCCAGCUUGAGAACUACAGGAAAUAAAUUUCUGUUGCUUAUAAAUUACUCAGUCUGAGGUGUUUUGUUACAGCAGCGGGGAUGGACUAAGACCCUUCCCAUUUUCCCCCAGCUGUGCCCUCGCCCCCAGCCCCGGGCAGCUGGGAGUCUACUCUGUGUCACCGUGGACCUGCCCAUUCCAGACAUUUGACAUAAAUGGUCUCAUGUGAUAUGUGGCCGUCUGCGUCUGACCUCCUUCACUUGGCAAAUGUUUGCGAGGUUCAUCCACUUUGGAGCAUGGGCCAGAGCUUCAUUCCUUUUUACGGGUGAAGAAUAGUGUGGGGCCAGGCCACAAUGUGCCCAUCUGUCCCUCAGCAGAUGGACAUGUAGGCUGUGCCCACCUUUGGGCUAUUGUGAAUAAUGCUACCAGGAACAUUUGUGGAUAAGCUUUUGUGUGGAUAAGCUUUUGUUUCUGAUUCUCGGGGACGUGUACCCAGGAGUGGGAUUGCUGGGUCACAUGGAAUUCGGCUUCACACUUUGAAGAACAGAACAGCCGCAUGUGAGGUUCCCACGUCUCCGCCCUGACACCUAUGAUGCUUUCGGUUCCAGCCAUCCCAGUGGGUGUGAGGUGUGGUCUCGUGUGGUUUUUAUUUGCAUUUCCCUGGUGGCUAAUGGUGUUAAGCAGCUUGUCAUGAGCUUGUUGGCUGGUCGCAUAUAUUAUUUGGAAAAAACAUCUAUUCAAAUUCUUUUGCCUUUUUUUUUUGAGUUAGAGUCUCUCUCUGUCACCCAGGCUGGAGUGCAGUGGCGCGAUCUCAGCUCACUGCAACCUCUGCCUCCCAGGUUCAAGCAAUUCUCUUGCCUCUGCCUCCUGAGUAGCUGGGAUUACAGGCGUGCACCACCACGUGGUGGCUAAUUGUUGUAUUUUUAGUAGAGAUGUGGUUUCACCACGUUGGCCAGGCUGGUCUCAAACUCCUGACCUCAAAUGGUCCCCCCAGCUUGGCCUCCCAAAGUGCUGGGAUUACAGGCGUGAGCCACUGCGCCCGGCCUCUCCCAGUUUGCCCAUUUUUUAACUAGGUUGUUUAUCUUUGUAUUGCUGAGCUGUGAGAGUUCUUUAGCACACUGGUUUUUCACUACCUUACCCUGGAGCCGAUACACAUCCUUUCUGCUCAGUCAUUAGCCAGAAAUGCAGAGAAAUGCUACUGUGUGACCCCAUGACCUCAGCCUGAUGUGCAGGGGUCCCCAGAAUAUUAGACGGGCACUGACUGUCUGCAGGAUACAGACCCGGGAGGGUGGCUUUGCACUGCUGAUCUGAACACAGCCUCUCACUGAUUCAAAACGUCCUUUUGGCGUGUCUGUAAUGCCUGCGUGUUCACCGUUCGCAUUGUUACUGUGAGCGACCCACGCACCAGCUCCACACGGGGCUCCCUAGGUGCAGCCUCCGGUGUGUGUUAAAACCUGGUGGCCACGGUUCCCUUGUUCAUCUUUUGUUCCAGAAUUUCCUUAGUUUUCUUACUUAUUUUUCCACGUUAACUUCACAAUCAAUCUACCUGAUUCCAGGGUUCUCCGGUGUUUUAAUUGGCCCCGCUGUGGCAGCCGGCCAGCACGAGGGACGGCACCUCGUGACGCCCAGGACAGACCGGGCUUGUUGCUGGUCUGUGGUCCUCAGUCAGGCCUCAGACCCUCUAUAACAGGUAUAGAUGUGCCCGCCGUUUGCUCCUAGAAAUUUACAAUUUUUGUUGCUGUUGGGAAUGGUCCCUUUUCUUUCUUCAUUGUCUCUCCUAACUGGAAGUGCUUGAAUUUGAAAGAUGCUGAUUCCUGACUCUGAAUUUUGUGCACAGCCACCCUCCGAAACUCACCUCUGCCUUCUAAUCAGUUUUCCGGGUCUAUGAGGAGUCGCAGCAGGCUGUGCUCGGGUG